rnacentral:rRNA from 1 species
GAUGAACGCUGGCGGCGUGCUUAACACAUGCAAGUCGAACGAAGAAGCGCAGAUUUCUGUGCUGUUUAGUUGCGAACGGGUGAGUAACACGUGAGUGACCUGCCGUUAACUCUGAGUUAAGUAUGUGCAGCUGGGUCGAAUACAGGCUAGGAGCGUCUACCACACGGUGGGUGCUGGACAGAUUUAUCGGUUUUGGAUGGAUUCGCGGCGUAUCAGCGUGUUGGUGAGGAAAUGGCUGACGAAGGCGAUGACGGGUAGACGGCGGUGGAGGGUGACCGGCGACCCUGGGACUGAGGCACGGCCCAGACGCCUACCGGAGGCAGAAGUGGAGAAUAUUGCACAAUGGGCGCGAGCCUGAUGCAGCGACGCCGCGUGAGGGAUGACGGCCUUCGGGUUGUAAACCUCUUUCAGUAUGGAAGAAGCGAAAGUGACGGUACCUGCAGAAGAAGCACCGGCUAACUACGUG